rnacentral:pre_miRNA from 1 species
CAUGUACUCCCUCCGUCCGAAAAUAGUUGUCAUCAAAAUGGACAAAAAGGGAUGUAUCUAGAACUAAAAUACAUCUAGAUACAUCCCAUUUUAUUCAUUUUGAUGACAAGUAUUUCCGGACGGAGGGAGUAUCUG